rnacentral:rRNA from 1 species
CAACAGGGAUUGCCCUAGUAACGGCGAGUGAAGCGGCAACAGCUCAAAUUUGAAAUCUGGCUCUCUUUGGGGGUCCGAGUUGUAAUUUGCAGAGGAUGCUUUGGCAUUGGCAGCGGUCUAAGUUCCUUGGAACAGGACAUCACAGAGGGUGAGAAUCCCGUACGUGGUCGCUUGCCUUUGCCGUGUAAAGCUCCUUCGACGAGUCGAGUUGUUUGGGAAUGCAGCUCUAAAUGGGAGGUAAAUUUCUUCUAAAGCUAAAUACUGGCCAGAGACCGAUAGCGCACAAGUAGAGUGAUCGAAAGAUGAAAAGUACUUUGGAAAGAGAGUCAAAAAGCACGUGAAAUUGUUGAAAGGGAAGCGCUUGCAGCCAGACUUGCCCGCAGUUGCUCACCUAGGCUUUCGCCUGGGGCACUCUUCUGCGGGCAGGCCAGCAUCAGUUUGGGCGGUUGGAUAAAGGCCUCUGUCACGUAUCAUCCUUCGGGAUGACCUUAUAGGGGAGGCGUAAUGCAACCAGCCCGGACUGAGGUCCGCGCAUCUGCUAGGAUUGGCUGUAAGCGGCCCGUCUUGAAACACGGACCAAGGAGUCUAACAUCUAUGCGAGUGUUUGGGUGUCAAGCCCGAGCGCGUAAUGAAAGUGAACGGAGGUGGGAACCUUUUAGGUGCACCAUCGACCGAUCCUGAUGUCUUCGGAUGGAUUUGAGUAAGAGCAUAGCUGUUGGGACCCGAAAGAUGGUGAACUAUGCUUGAAUAGGGUGAAGCCAGAGGAAACUCUGGUGGAGGCUCGCAGCGGUUCUGACGUGCAAAUCGAUCGUCAAAUUUGGGCAUAGGGGCGAAAGACUAAUCGA